CCGGACUUAGAGCAGGAGCUUCACCUAAACCAUUCCCUUUAGAGAGCUGAAGCUCAUAAUCUUAUGGGGAAAAGCAAAAGCAGAGUUCUGUGGAGCCAGAAACCCCAUAAAGUAAGUAACUCACCUGACGAGCUGGCCGGGGUAGGCAGAGGUGCCCUCCUGCACAGAAGAAAACACAGAGCUGAGGAUCUGCGUGGCUCUGGGACUCCCAGUGGCCUGGCUCUGGGCUCCCCAACUGCCCUCCCAGAGCUGGUUGGAGGGCAAGAGGUUUGGCCAGCCUGGACUUCAUGGAGACCUGAUACCAAGGCACGUCAUGAGCUGGUUGACAUGAAGCCAGAGGGCAUUGCGGAAAUAGUUGAGCCGCUCACACUCCUGAGUCUCAAAGAACUGAAAUGACACAGACAAAACAGCCCUAACAUCUUUGAGAACAAAUGUCUUCUAUUCUGAUCUCUUUUCAUCCCACUACAAAGAUCACUGGUAGAUCUUUGAUCAACCAUCCACAGCAAGGAGUAGGUGAUGUUGGUCUUCUGCAGGAAGCAUGGUAACCAUGAGUCAUAGAAUCAUAGAACCAGCUAGGUUGGAAGAGACCUUGUCCAGAGAAAAAGUCGACCCUUUACACACCCAGAUAUUUCAAAGAUGAGCGUUAAGUUCAGGAAGGUCUGCAGGGCCCGUGCGGAAGGGGUCACUCAGCACAACACUACCUCUGGGGAGACGAAGCCAGCUUCCUAAAGGCACUGCAUGUUUCCUAGGUACCCCAUGGUCCUGCAGUCCCAGCUGACUUCUCUCCCACAACUAUGGAGCAAUAAAAAAGCAUUUGGGAUAUCUGAAAGCAAA